rnacentral:rRNA from 1 species
CCCUUAGAUGUCCUGGGCUGCACGCGCGCUACACUGAUGUGUCCAGUAAGCACCUAACCUAUUCCGAGAGGAGCGGGUAACCUUAGCAAAGCACAUCGUGAUGGGGAUAGAUUAUUGCAAUUAUUAGUCUUGAACGAGGAGUUCCUAGUAAGCACAAGUCAUCAGCUUGUGUUGAUUACGUCCCUGCCCUUUGUACACACCGCCCGUCGCUCCUACCGAUUGAAUGUUCCGGUGAGCUCUUCGGACUGCGCGGUCUGCAGUUUCUGCGUUCCGUGCGGAAAGUUGUGCAAACCUUAACAUUUAGAGGAAGGAGAAGUCGUAACA